rnacentral:lncRNA from 1 species
GGGCAGAUAUUAUCAAACCCGUCGCCAUCAAUUACCCAUAUCGACCGAAUUUUACCCACCCAUUUUGAAUGGGUAUCGGUUUUCAAAUUAUAAUUUCUCAAAUGUCGCUCUUCCCUCUAAAAUCUCCCCAUAUCUCUUUUAAUCGAAAUGUCGAAAUAAACAAUUUAAGAUUAAAUCUCUACGAAAGUCCAAUCACCAAUUGAAACGAAUCAUUAAUCUUAAAAAAAAAAAAAAAAGGAUGCGGUGCGCUCCCCGGACAUGUGCCGUUAUGAGUUCCCUGCAGAGGACCGUUUGAAAGGUAGGCACGGUUUCACUUAUUAAUUUCCACUUUGUUUGGUUGAAAUUUUGGGAAGCAGGAUUCUUACAUUUGUUUUAUUAUUUUUCCUCUUAAUCUUGCUUACCUUGGU